GGGGGUGUGGCUCAGUUGGUAGAGCGUUCGCUUAGCAGCAGCUUCUCAACUGCGAAAGGUCCUGAGUUCGAUUCUUAGCUCCUCCA